GCUUUAUUUCUUGUUUUUAAGACGAUAAACCUCUAUUUUAGCAAAUGAGCCAGUAGUAGAAGAUCAGCAUAAAUCCCACCUCACAAAAUGUGACCCGGGACUGGCGCGGCAGAGCGCAGGGAGGACAGAUGGAGAUGGUUUUGUUUUCUUUUUGGCAUCUGGGACUCAAUGGAAGCGUGGACUGCAAAGGGACAGAUUUGCAAAUGAACUUAUUUUCUAAGGGAUAAAUAAAUCUUAUAUAUUCAUAGACUUGCAACAACAGAUUCAUUCUGUGCACUCAAGCCCGUUGGAGACCCUGAUCUAAAUCUAUUAUAGAGUCUAUUCUUGUACUGAUUUGAAAAAAAAACAUUUGCAAUAAAAUUUCUAAACUCAGCAGUGCCUGCAUUCAUCUUCUGCCUUCCCUGCACCUGGGGCACCCCACGCCUGGGAGCAGGAACAGGUUUUGUGCCAGUUCUUGUGGCUGGUCCUGCACCCCGGUGGCCAUUUCUCAGGGGGUACUGGGCCAGGCCUCGGGCAGCCCUGCACUGCAGGAGCGUGGCCGGCUGCUCCCCGCACGCAGCCCUCGGGGCUGGUUGUGGGGAGGAAGAGGCCGGGUGCCAGGCAGCUCCGGGACCCCCUGGCAGUGCCAAACCAGCCUUGGCGCAGGCAUCCGGCCUGGCCCCGCUGCCUCCUGCAAAGGCCCUGGCAGCAGCUGUCCCUUGGGCUCUGCAGCGGGAUUUGCAGCCAGAAACGCAGCGUGUCAUAGGCAGGCGCUUGGGGUUGCACAGCACAUCCCCGUGCCUGCUGGCACAGCCCUGCCUCAGCACCGCACGGGAAGAUGGGCAGAGCCGGGGCUCCCCAGACCCCAAAACAUCUGCAACCCCAAGGGCCAGGCACAGCCCCCCAGCCCUGCAUGCAACCCCCCUCCUUGAACAGGAGGGUUUUUUUCCCCCCCAAAUCACUCCCUGGCUGUACCCUCACACUGCAGCAAUAGCACAAACACCUCUUUGGUGCAAGGGUCCCUGGCAGCAAGGGAAAUCGAGGCACAGGCUGCAGCCCGCAGAGCCGCAGGCACCCCAUCUGCCUGGGGGCUCCCAGCCCCGCGGCUCUGCA
rnacentral:lncRNA from 1 species